AAAGAGGCAGGAGAAGAACUGCGGAGCUCUCCAUAACCCAAUCAGGAAGGUUCUGCAUGGACCAUGAGAUGGUCUUUGGUUGUUCGGGUUUUCUCCCGUGUAAAAUUGGAAAUGUCUUGGCAACGUUUCGACGAAGUCUCAUUCGUCAUCUUCAGGCUUCAGCUUCGUGCUUCUGGGAGCAAUUAAUCAAAUUUUUAUAACGCCCUUCUCCCGAAGGACUCAGGGCGGUUUACAGCCAGGUGCUAGAAGAUGAAUGCACGAUUCAGGAAAGGCCAAAGUAGUUGAAGAUGGAAGUUUUGGCGUGCUUGCAAAAAGACAGCAAAUCAAGAAUUUAAAAAGGCUUAAUUUUUUUUUUUAAAAAGAACUAUUAGCUUAUUGAUUAAUUUAAAAAAUAAGUUUAAAAUUUUUAAAAAAUGUAAUGUUACCGUCAGGGUUGAACCUAAAGAGGAAGCUCAAAAACUAAGACAGAAAAGGCUUCUGGUAGUUGUCUUCUCAAACCCAGAAACAUGUCAGCACCUAAUUGAGCUCAAAAAACCUCAACAGUAUAGGUUAGUAGCUCAAUAGGAAUGUUCCAGAAAUACCAAGAAAAUGUGCUAAACUAGGAAGUUGGAAAAAGGAGCUUAAGAAGAAAAGGCAAUGGAGAAUUAUGGUCAAACAAUCCCUCAAAAUAUGGUGUUUUUUUCCCCCAGCAAGUCUGGGAAACCCCUCUUAAUAGGAAGCGUGCAUACUGGUUGUAUUAUAUGUAACAU